GGAUGGUCUGGAUCUCCAGACCUCGUGAUUCCCCCGCCUCGGCCUCCCAAAGUGCUGGGAUUACAGGCGUGAGCCACCGUGCCUGGCCGGUUUCCUCAUUUGUAAAAUACCUAUAGAGUUUUGUGAAUAUGUAAUGAGGCAGUACCUAUAUAGUGCUUGGUGCACUUCCAAGCAGGUAGUAAUUACCUGCUAAGUCAUAAGAAAAAUAAGUCCAAAUAGACAAACUCAUGUCUGUUUGAUUUUAAAGCCAUGCUCAUUCCUUUACAUCACAUUUCUAAAAUAAUCCUAUUACCACCUUAUUAGACAAAACACUGAUUUUGAUUUUACUCCUGGGUCCACGUGGCAUUAAAUAAGACACAUUGUGAUACAUAUGUAUAAAACCUGAGGGUUAGAAAAUAUUUUCCAGCUCUCUAUUUACAAAUAUUUUAUUUAUUUAGAAAUAGUCGCUUAAAAUAUGUCUUAAGAAUUUGCACAAUUAGAAGUGAAGUUCCUGACUUAUCAGGACAUAAAACUUGUAGUCAACUAUUUUCAAUAACCAGCAAGUAAAUGAUUUGUCACUAGAUGGCACUGUAUUGGAUAAUAUUUUUAAAAACCUUUUUUAGCACAAUGAGAUCCAACUUGAUUUGUCAAAUUAAAAGAAUAUUUUCUUAGUCACAGGAUGAGAUAGGAGGUCGGCACAGGAUACAGGUCACAAAGACCCUGCUGAUAACACAGGAUGCCAUAAAGAAGCCGGCCAAAACUCACCAAAACCAAGAUGGCAAUGAAAGAGACCUCUGGUCGUCCCCGCUGCUCAUUAUACACUAAUUAUAAUAUAUUAGCAUGCUAAAAGGCGCUCCUGCCAGCGCCAUGACAGUUUACAAAUCCCAAGGCAAUGUCCGGAAGUUACCCUAUAUGGUCUAAAAAGGGGAGGAACUCUCAGUUCCGGGAAAUCUCCACCCCUUUCCUGGAAAACUCAUGAAUAAUCCACCCCUUGUUUAGCAUAUAAUCCAGAAAUAACUGCAAGGAUACUCAGUCAAGCAGACCAGGCCGCUGCUCUGCCUAUGGAGUAGCCGUUCUUUAUUCCUUUUCUUUUUUUGAAACUUGCUUUCACUUUAAAAAAGGAAUAUUUUCUUUCCAAAGGAGAGGUUCUGGAUACUGGGAAGUCCAAGGUUGAGAGACGGUAUCUGG
rnacentral:lncRNA from 10 species